rnacentral:rRNA from 1 species
GUGGGGAAUUUUGGACAAUGGGCGAAAGCCUGAUCCAGCCAUGCCGCGUGCAGGAUGAAGGCCUUCGGGUCGUAAACUGCUUUUGUACGGAACGAAAAGACGCCUUCUAAUAAAGGGGGUCCAUGACGGUACCGUAAGAAUAAGCACCGGCUAACUACGUGCCAGCAGCCGCGGUAAUACGUAGGGUGCAAGCGUUAAUCGGAAUUACUGGGCGGAAAGCGUGCGCAGGCGGUUAUAUAAGACAGAUGUGAAAUCCCCGGGCUCAAACUGGGAACUGCAUUUGUGACUGUAUAGCUAGAGUACGGUAGAGGGGGAUGGAAUUCCGCGUGUAGCAGUGAAAUGCGUAGAUAUGCGGAGGAACACCGAUGGCGAAGGCAAUCCCCUGGACCUGUACUGACGCUCAUGCACGAAAGCGUGGGGAGCAAACAGGAUUAGAUACCCUUGUAGUCC